GACGAACGCUGGCGGCGUGCUUAACACAUGCAAGUCGAACGAAGAGCGAUGGAAGCUUGCUUCUAUCACUCUUAGUGGCGAACGGGUGAGUAACGCGUAAUCAACCUGCCCUUCAGAGGGGGACAACAGUUGGAAACGACUGCUAAUACCGCAUACGAUCCAAUCUCGGCAUCGGGACUGGAUGAAAGGUGGCCUCUAUUUAUAAGCUAUCACUGAAGGAGGGGAUUGCGUCUGAUUAGCUAGUUGGAGGGGUAACGGCCCACCAAGGCGAUGAUCAGUAGCCGGUCUGAGAGGAUGAACGGCCACAUUGGGACUGAGACACGGCCCAGACUCCUACGGGAGGCAGCAGUGGGGAAUCUUCCGCAAUGGACGAAAGUCUGACGGAGCAACGCCGCGUGAGUGAUGACGGCCUUCGGGUUGUAAAGCUCUGUUAAUCGGGACGAAUGGUUCUUGUGCGAAUAGUGCGAGGAUUUGACGGUACCGGAAUAGAAAGCCACGGCUAACUACGUG
rnacentral:rRNA from 1 species